rnacentral:rRNA from 1 species
GAUGAACGCUAGCGGCAGGCCUAAUACAUGCAAGCCGGACGGCAAGUUGAGUAGCAAUACUUGACCUAGAGUGGCGUAAGGGUGCGUAACACGUAUGCAAUCUGCCCACAGCCGGGAGAUAGCCCUCCGAAAGGAGGAUUAAUAUCCCAUAGGAAGAUGAGAUGGCAUCAUUUUAUUUUUAAACUACGGGGCUGUGGAUGAGCAUGCGGUUGAUUAGCUAGUUGGCGGGGUAAAGGCCCACCAAGGCGAUGAUCAAUAGGGGACCUGAGAGGGUGAUCCCCCACACUGGCACUGAGAUACGGGCCAGACUCCUACGGGAGGCAGCAGUAGGGGAAUAUUGGACAAUGGGUGUAAGCCUGAUCCAGCCAUGCCGCGUGCAGGAA